CCUACGGGAGGCAGCAGUGAGGAAUAUUGGUCAAUGGGCGCAAGCCUGAACCAGCCAAGUCGCGUGAGGGAUGACGGUCCUAUGGAUUGUAAACCUCUUUUGUCGGGGAGCAAGGCCCGCCACGUGUGGCGGGAAGGCGAGUACCCGAAGAAAAAGCAUCGGCUCACUCCGUGCCAGCAGCCGCGGUAAUCAGGAGGAUGCGAGCGUUCUCCGGAUUUAUUGGGUUUAAAGGGUGCGUAGGCGGAAGGUUAAGUCAGCGGUCAAAUGUCGGUGCUCAACACCGGCCAGCCGUUGAAACUGGUCGUCUUGAGUGAGCGAGAAGUAUGCGGAAUGCGUGGUGUAGCGGUGAAAUGCAUAGAUAUCACGCAGAACUCCGAUUGCGAAGGCAGCAUACCGGCGCUCAACUGACGCUGAGGCACGAAAGCGUGGGGAUCGAACAGGAUUAGAUACCCUUGUAGUC
rnacentral:rRNA from 1 species